UGGGAAGGAGGAAGUCGUAACAAGGUUUCCGUAGGUGAACCUGCGGAAGGAUCAUUGUCGAUGCCUGCAAAGUAGACCCGGCGAACUUGUUAAAAUAUGCCUGGGGGUUUGAGAAGGGGUGCGCGAGCCCCCCCGACACACUCCCCCAGCCCCCUCGGGAUUUGGCUUGCGUUCCCCUAGCGGGGAYUCGGUCAAGCUCCCGACAACGAACCCCGGCGCUAUCUGCGCCAAGGAACCAUAACUGAAGGGCUGGCCUCCCGAUGUCCCGUUCGCGGUGUGCACGGGAGGCAUCUGCAUCUUUUGAAUCUAAAACGACUCUCGGCAACGGAUAUCUCGGCUCUCGCAUCGAUGAAGAACGUAGCGAAAUGCGAUACUUGGUGUGAAUUGCAGAAUCCCGUGAACCAUCGAGUUUUUGAACGCAAGUUGCGCCCGAAGCCAUUAGGCUAAGGGCACGUCUGCCUGGGCGUCACGCAUCACGUCGCCACCAACCCCGAUGCCCAGCUGGAUAUUACGGGAGUUGGGGGCGGAAAUUGGCCUCCCGUCCACGAACGUGCGCGGUUGGCCCAAAAAAUGAGUUCUUGACGAUGGACGUCACGGCAAGUGGUGGUUGAAAGACCUCUUGCGUCAUGUCGUGAGGCACCAAGUCUGUAGCGAGCUCUGACCGCGACCCUGUGCACCCUUCCUUCACGGAUGGUGCUCCGACCGCGACCCCAGGUCAGACGGGAUUACCCGCUGAGUUUAAGCAUAUCAAUAAAGCCGGAGGAAA
rnacentral:rRNA from 1 species